UGAAGGACUGUUUGUUUGGAGAGAGAGAGAGAGAGAGAGAGAGAGGAGUAUUGAGGGGGUUGACGGACUGUUUGUUUGGAGAGAGAGAGAGAGAGAGAGAGAGAGGAGUAUUGAGGGGGUUGAAGGACUGCUUGUUGGAAGAGAGAGAGAGAGGAGUGUUGAGGGGGUUGAAGGACUGUUUGUUUGGAGAGAGAGAGAGAGAGAGAGUGAAGGGAGUAUUGAGGGGGUUGAAGGACUGUUUGUUUGGAGAGAGAGAGAGAGAGAGAGAGAGAGAGGGAGUAUUGAGGGGGUUGAAGGACUGUUUGUUGGGAGAGAGAGAGAGAGAGGAGUAUUGAGGGCGUUGAAGGACUGCUUGAUGGAAGAGAGAGAGAGAGGAGUGUUGAGGGGGUUGAAGGACUGUUUGUUGGGAGAGAGAGAGAGAGAGAGAGAGAGAGAGAGAGGGAAUAUUGAGGGGGUUGAAGGACUGCUUGUUGGAAGAGAGAGAGAGAGGAGUGUUGAGGGGGUUGAAGGACUGUUUGUUUGGAGAGAGAGAGAGAGAGAGUGAGAGAGAGAGGGGAUUAUUGAGGGGGUUGAAGGACUGUUUGUUUGGAGAGAGAGAGAGAGAGAGAGAGAGAGAGAGAGAGAGAGAGAGAGAGGGGGGGAGAGGGAGUAUUGAGGGGGUUGAAGUACUGCUUGUUGGAAGAGAGAGAGAGAGGAGUAUUGAGGGGGUUGAAGGACUGCUUGUUGGAAGAGAGAGAGCGAGAGAGGGAGAGGGGAGUAUUGAGGGGGUUGAAGGACUGCUUGUUGGAAGAGAGAGAGAGAGAGAGGAGUUUUGAGGGGGUUGAAGGACUGCUUGUUGGAAGGGAGAGAGAGAGAGAGAGAGAGAGGGAGUAUUGAGGGGGUUGAAGGACUGCUUGUUGGAAGAGAGAAAGAGAGAGAGAGGAGUAUUGAAGGUGUUUAAGGACUGCUUGUUGAAAGAGAGAGAGAGAGAGAGAGUAGUAUUAAGGGGGUUGAAGGACUGCUUGUUGGAAGAGAGAGAGAGAGAGAGAGAGAGAGAGAGGGAGUAUUGAGGGGGUUGAAGGACUGCUUGUUGGAAGAGAGAGAGAGGAGUAUUGAAGGGGUUGAAGGACUGUUUGUUGGAAGAGAGAGAGAGAGAGAGAGAGGAGUAUUGAGGGGGUUGAAGGACUGUUUGUUGGGAGAGCGAGAGAGAGAGAGAGAGAGAGAGAGAGGAAGGAGUAUUGAGGGGGUUGAAGGACUGUUUGUUUGGAGAGAGAGAGAGAGAGAGAGAGAGAGAGGGAGUAUUGAGGGGGUUGAAGGACUGUUUGUUGGGAGAGAGAGAGAGAGAGGAGUAUUGAGGGCGUUGAAGGACUGCUUGAUGGAAGAGAGAGAGAGAGGAGUGUUGAGGGGGUUGAAGGACUGUUUGUUGGGAAGAGAGAGAGAGAGAGAGAGAGAGAGAGGAGUAUUGAGGGGGUUGAAGGACUGUUUGUUGGGAGAGAGAGAGAGAGAGAGAGAGAGAGAGAGAGAGGAGUAUUGAGGGGUUGAAGGACUGUUUGUUGGGAGAGAGAGAGAGAGAGAGAGAGGGAGUAUUGAGGGGGUUGAAGGACUGUUUGUUGGGAGAGAGAGAGAGAGGGGAGUAUUGAGGGCGUUGAAGGACUGCUUGAUGGAAGAGAGAGAGAGAGGAGUGUUGAGGGGGUUGAAGGACUGUUUGUUUGGAGGGAGAGAGAGAGAGAGGAGUAUUGAGGGGGUUGAAGGACUGUUUGUUUGGAGAGAGAGAGAGCGAGAGGAAGAGAGAGAGGGAGUAUUGAGGGGGUUGAAGGACUGCUUGUUGGAAGAGAGAGAGAGAGGAGUAUUGAGGGGUUGAAGGACUGCUUGUUGGAAGAGAGAGCGAGAGAGAGAGGGUUGUAUUGAGGGGGGUUGAAGGACUGCUUGUUGGAAGAGAGAGAGAGAGAG
rnacentral:lncRNA from 1 species